rnacentral:rRNA from 1 species
GACGUAGGGCGCGAGCGUUGUCCGGAUUUAUUGGGCGUAAAGAGCGUGUAGGCGGCCAGGUAGGUCGGUUGUGAAAACUGGAGGCUUAACCUCCAGACGUCGACGGAAACCGCGUGGCUAGAGUCCGGAAGAGGAGAGUGGAAUUCCUGGUGUAGCGGUGAAAUGCGCAGAUAUCAGGAGGAACACCGGUGGCGAAGGCGGGUCUCUGGGCCGAUACUGACGCUGAGGAGCGAAAGCGUGGGGAGCGAACAGG